rnacentral:rRNA from 1 species
GACGAACGCUGGCGGCGUGCCUAAUACAUGCAAGUCGAGCGAUGAAGUUUGGUGCUUGCACCAAUUUGAAGAUCAGCGAACGGGUGAGUAACGCGGGGUGAAUCUGCCUUUGAGCGGGGGACAACAUUUGGAAACGAAUGCUAAUACCGCAUAACAACUUUAAACAUAAGGUUUAAGUUUGAAAGAUGCAAUUGCAUCACUCAAAGAUGAUCCCGCGUUGUAUUAGCUAGUUGGUGAGGUAAGGGCUCACCAAGGCGAGGAUACAUAGCCGACCUGAGAGGGUGCUAGGCAAAAUUGGGAUUGAGGCACGGCCCAAACUCCUACGAGAGGCAGCAGUAGGGAACCUUCGGCAAUGGCAGAAAGUCUGACCGAGCAACGCCGCGUGAGUGACGAAGGUUUUAGGGUCGUAAGACUCUGUUGGUCGAGAGGAAUGUUGGUGAGAGUGGCAAGCUCAUAAAGUGACGGUAACUACACAGAAAGGGACGGCUAACUCCGUG